rnacentral:misc_RNA from 1 species
GAUUUAUGUCGGUGGGGAGGGCCACAAAGUGGGAAAUUCGUCGAAUGUGCAAUCGAUGAACGUGUGUGGCA